rnacentral:rRNA from 1 species
GGAAUUUUGGACAAUGGGCGAAAGCCUGAUCCAGCCAUUCCGCGUGAGUGAAGAAGGCCUUCGGGUUGUAAAGCUCUUUCGCAAGGGAAGAACACUUAGUCUCUAACAUAGACUGAGGUUGACGGUACCCUGAUAAGAAGCACCGGCUAACUACGUGCCAGCAGCCGCGGUAAUACGUAGGGUGCGAGCGUUAAUCGGAAUUACUGGGCGUAAAGCGUGCGCAGGCUGUUUUGUAAGUCAGAUGUGAAAUCCCCGAGCUCAACUUGGGAACUGCGUUUGAAACUACAAGACUAGAAUAUGUCAGAGGGGGGUAGAAUUCCACGUGUAGCAGUGAAAUGCGUAGAGAUGUGGAGGAAUACCAAUGGCGAAGGCAGCCCCCUGGGAUAAUAUUGACGCUCAUGCACGAAAGCGUGGGGAGCAA